rnacentral:rRNA from 1 species
AUGCGAUGCGGCGACGCAGAGCGGAACUUCAAAGCCUGUCUCAGUUCGGNUUGGAGUCUGCAACCCGACUUCAUGAAGCUGGAUUCGCUAGUAAUCGCGCAUCAGCCACGGCGCGGUGAAUACGUUCCCGGGCCUUGUACACACCGCCCGUCACACCAUGAGAGUCGGGAACACCCGAAGUCCGUAGCCUAACCGCAAGGGGGGCGCGGCCGAAGGUGGGUUCGAUAAUUGGGGUGAAGUCGUAACAAGGUAAC